AUUGAACGCUGGCGGCAGGCCUAACACAUGCAAGUCGAGCGGAUGAAGGGAGCUUGCUCCUGGAUUCAGCGGCGGACGGGUGAGUAAUGCCUAGGAAUCUGCCUGGUAGUGGGGGAUAACGUCCGGAAACGGGCGCUAAUACCGCAUACGUCCUGAGGGAGAAAGUGGGGGAUCUUCGGACCUCACGCUAUCAGAUGAGCCUAGGUCGGAUUAGCUAGUUGGUGGGGUAAAGGCCUACCAAGGCGACGAUCCGUAACUGGUCUGAGAGGAUGAUCAGUCACACUGGAACUGAGACACGGUCCAGACUCCUACGGGAGGCAGCAGUGGGGAAUAUUGGACAAUGGGCGAAAGCCUGAUCCAGCCAUGCCGCGUGUGUGAAGAAGGUCUUCGGAUUGUAAAGCACUUUAAGUUGGGAGGAAGGGCAAUAAGUUAAUACCUUGCUGUUUUGACGUUACCAACAGAAUAAGCACUGGCUAACUUCGUG
rnacentral:rRNA from 1 species